rfam:Pichia pastoris GS115 chromosome 1, complete sequence
AGCGCCGUGACGCAGUGGAAGCGUGUAGGGCUCAUAACCCUAAAGUCGAUGGAUCGAAACCAUCCGGCGCUA